GCUCAUCGCAUCCUGGGGCUGUAGUCGGUCCCAAGGGUUGGGCUGUUCGCCCAUUAAAGCGGUACGCGAGCUGGGUUCAGAACGUCGUGAGACAGUUCGGUCCCUAUCCGUCGUGGGCGUAGGAAAUUUGAGAGGAGCUGUCCUUAGUACGAGAGGACCGGGAUGGACAUACCUCUGGUGUACCAGUUGUCGUGCCAACGGCAUAGCUGGGUAGCUAUGUAUGGACGGGAUAAGUGCUGAAAGCAUCUAAGCAUGAAGCCCCCCUCGAGAUGAGAUUUCCCAACUUCGGUUAUAAGAUCCCUCAAAGAUGAUGAGGUGAAUAGGUUCGAGGUGGAAGCGUAGCGAUACGUGGAGCUGACGAAUACUA
rnacentral:rRNA from 1 species